UACGUAGUGUGUAAGCGUUACUCGGAAUUACUGGGCGUAAAGCGUGCGCAGGCGGUUUUGUAAGUCUGACGUGAAAUCCCCGGGCACAAACUGGGAAUUGCGUUGGAGACUGCAAGGCUAGAGUGUGUCAGAGGGGGGUAGAAUUCCACGUGUAGCAGUGACAUGCGUAGAGAUGUGGAGGAACACCGAUGGCGAAGGCAGCCCCCUGGGUCAAGAUUGACGCUCAUGCACGAAAGCGUGGGGAGCAAACAGG
rnacentral:rRNA from 1 species